rnacentral:rRNA from 1 species
UACGUAGGUGGCAAGCGUUGUCCGGAUUUACUGGGCGUAAAGAGCGCGCAGGCGGUCGUUCAAGUCGCGUGUGAAAGCCCCCGGCUCAACUGGGGAGGGUCACGCGAUACUGAUCGACUGGAAGGCAGGAGAGGGUAGUGGAAUUCCCGGUGUAGUGGUGAAAUGCGUAGAUAUCGGGAGGAACACCAGUGGCGAAGGCGACUUACUGGACACAUAUUGACGCUGAGGUGCGAAAGCGUGGGGAGCAAACAGG